AAGGUUUUAAUGGUGUGUAUUCGGUUUUAGUCGGCGUCAGGUUGCGCUUUUCUGCGCAAAUGAAUUUUGCCGAUGCGACUU